GAUGAACGCUAGCGGCAGGCCUAACACAUGCAAGUCGAGGGGUAGAGUUAGCUUGCUAACUUGAGACCGGCGCACGGGUGCGUAACGCGUAUGCAAUCUACCUUGUACAGAGGGAUAGCCCAGAGAAAUUUGGAUUAAUACCUCAUAGUAUUAUUGAAUGGCAUCAUUUAAUAAUUAAAGUUCCAACGGUACAAGAUGAGCAUGCGUCCCAUUAGUUAGUUGGUAAGGUAACGGCUUACCAAGACAAUGAUGGGUAGGGGUCCUGAGAGGGAGAUCCCCCACACUGGUACUGAGACACGGACCAGACUACUACGGGAGGCAGCAGUGAGGAAUAUUGGCCAAUGGGCGCAAGCCUGAACCAGCCAUGCCGCGUGCAGGAUGACGGUCCUAUGGAUUGUAGACUGCUUUUGUACGGGAAGAAACACUCCCUCGUGAGGGAGCUUGACGGUACCGUAAGAAUAAGGAUCGGCUAACUCCGUGCCAGCAGCCGCGGUAAGAC
rnacentral:rRNA from 1 species